rnacentral:rRNA from 1 species
UGGCGAACGGGUGAAACCUGCCCUUGACUCUGGGAUAAGCCUGGGAAACUGGGUCUAAUACCGGAUACGACCAUUGCCCGCAUGGGUUGGUGGUGGAAAGCUUUUGUGGUUUUGGAUGGACUCGCGGCCUAUCAGCUUGUUGGUGAGGUAAUGGCUCACCAAGGCGACGACGGGUAGCCGGCCUGAGAGGGUGACCGGCCACACUGGGACUGAGACACGGCCCAGACUCCUACGGGAGGCAGCAGUGGGGAAUAUUGCACAAUGGGCGAAAGCCUGAUGCAGCGACGCCGCGUGAGGGAUGACGGCCUUCGGGUUGUAAACCUCUUUCAGUAGGGAAGAAGCGAAAGUGACGGUACCUGCAGAAGAAGCGCCGGCUAACUACGUGCCAGCAGCCGCGGUAAUACGUAGGGCGCAAGCGUUAUCCGGAAUUAUUGGGCGUAAAGAGCUCGUAGGCGGUUUGUCGCGUCUGCUGUGAAAGGCCAGGGCUCAACCCUGGUUCUGCAGUGGGUACGGGCAGACUUGAGUGAUGUAGGGGAGACUGGAAUUCCUGGUGUAGCGGUGAAAUGCGCAGAUAUCAGGAGGAACACCGAUGGCGAAGGCAGGUCUCUGGGCAUUAACUGACGCUGAGGAGCGAAAGCAUGGGGAGCGAACAGGAUUAGAUACCCUGGUAGUCCAUGCCGUAAACGUUGGGCACUAGGUGUGGGGGACAUUCCACGUUUUCCGCGCCGUAGCUAACGCAUUAAGUGCCCCGCCUGGGGAGUACGGCCGCAAGGCUAAAACUCAAAGGAAUUGACGGGGGCCCGCACAAGCGGCGGAGCAUGCGGAUUAAUUCGAUGCAACGCGAAGAACCUUACCAAGGCUUGACAUGGACUGGAUCGCAUCAGAGAUGGUGUUUCCCUUCGGGGCUGGUUCACAGGUGGUGCAUGGUUGUCGUCAGCUCGUGUCGUGAGAUGUUGGGUUAAGUCCCGCAACGAGCGCAACCCUCGUUCCAUGUUGCCAGCGCGUAAUGGCGGGGACUCAUGGGAGACUGCCGGGGUCAACUCGGAAGAAGGUGGGGACGACGUCAAAUCAUCAUGCCCCUUAUGUCUUGGGCUUCACGCAUGCUACAAUGGCCGGUACAAAGGGUUGCAAAAC